rnacentral:rRNA from 1 species
AGGGCGAACGCUGGCGGCGUGCUUAACACAUGCAAGUCGAGCGGAAAGGCCCUUCGGGGUACUCGAGCGGCGAACGGGUGAGUAACACGUGAGUAAUCUGCCCCUAGCUCUGGGAUAGCUCCGGGAAACCGGGAUUAAUACCAGAUACGACCACUUUAGACAUCUGCUGUGGUGGAAAGAAUUUCGGCUAGGGAUGAGCUCGCGGCCUAUCAGCUUGUUGGUGAGGUAACGGCUCACCAAGGCGACGACGGGUA